UACGCUACAGAAAUAAUUCUAUCGCAGAUCAGGGGAUUGAUAACUUAAACGGAGAAAGGAAAAAUACGCUGGAGAAAACAGGAUCGCAUAUUUUCCUCACCGCCUGUCUUCUCAAGCUUCGUCCGUCUUUAUACUCUUUUAUUAACGUGAGAGCCCACGGUGACAUCCAUACAAAACAACAGAAUAAUCGCACAUCCUUGAAGUGAUCAUCGUAAUAUUGGUGUCUGUUCUUUGAGGAACGUGCUGCCACAGUCUUCUUCAUGCUGUGGCGUCAGCUUCGGUGCCUGCAAUGGCCAGCUCGCGUUGUUCGAGGCUUUGAACUCCCAGCGGAGGGACCAUGGCUAUCCAUCAGUCCGCAUUUCACCGAACUAAUACCUGUUUUCGAAUUUUUCGAUUACCCUUCACUUCUACAUAAAUUGUCUCAUCUUUAAAUUUGUAUAAUUAUGGGUACAAAUGCGUUAUGAAAUCGACCUGAUCUGUAAAUUAAUUUGCUCGUUUUCAGAUGCUUUUUAAGUGUAAGUCUGUCUGAAUAUAUAGGAUUUGAGACUUUCUGAAUAUAUUUCAUCUACUUUCAGUAGAGGGAUUUCGAGAGGUCUCUUAUCGUUGAAAAUUAAAACACAAGUGUCGGCUUUGAGACUUCCAUAUUUUAUUAAAAUUAUUUGUAUUUGAGUAGGUCACGAAGAACGUUUUCUGUUAAAGAAUAAGGCAGCCAUGCUGCUUUAGUUAAAUCUGAUUAAAAACUGCGCUUACUUGCUCGACAGGGACAUCUUGAGAGUUUACAGAGCGCCACAAGUUAACUAGAGAACCUAACCAUGACAUAGACCAGUGGUAUUCAACCUGGGGUACGUGACCCCCGGGGGGUACGCGAAGACAUCUUAGGGGGUACGUGAAAUUUAAAAAAAUAUUAUUUUAUGAUA